GAUUAUGGGCGUAAGCGAGCGCAGGCGUUUCUAAGUCUGAUGUGAAAGCCUUCGGCUCCAACCGGAAAGAAGUGCAUCGGAAACUGGGAAACUUGAGUGCAGAAGAGGACAGUGGAACUCCCAUGGUGUAGCGUGAAAUGCGUAGAUAUAUGGAAGAACACCCAGUGGGCGAGGCGGCUGUCUGGUCUGUAACUGACGCUGAGGCUCGAAAGCAUGGGUAGCAAACAGGAUUAGAUACCCUGGUAGUCCAUGCCGUAAACGAUGAGUGCUAGGUGUUGGAGGGUUUCCGCCCUUCAGUGCCGCAGCUAACGCAUUAAGCACUCCGCCUGGGGAGUACGACCGCAAGGUUGAAACUCAAAGGAAUUGACGGGGGCCCGCACAAGCGGUGGAGCAUGUGGUUUAAUUCGAAGCAACGCGAAGAACCUUACCAGGUCUUGACAUCCUUUGACCACUCUAGAGAUAGAGCUUUCCCUUCGGGGACAAAGUGACAGGUGGUGCAUGGUUGUCGUCAGCUCGUGUCGUGAGAUGUUGGGUUAAGUCCCGCAACGAGCGCAACCCUUAUUACUAGUUGCCAGCAUUUAGUUGGGCACUCUAGUGAGACUGCCGGUGACAAACCGGAGGAAGGUGGGGACGACGUCAAAUCAUCAUGCCCCUUAUGACCUGGGCUACACACGUGCUACAAUGGAUGGUACAACGAGUUGCGAGACCGCGAGGUUUAGCUAAUCUCUUAAAACCAUUCUCAGUUCGGAUUGUAGGCUGCAACUCGCCUACAUGAAGCCGGAAUCGCUAGUAAUCGCGGAUCAGCAUGCCGCGGUGAAUACGUUCCCGGGCCUUGUACACACCGCCCGUCACACCAUGAGAGUUUGUAACACCCAAAGCCGGUGAGGUAACCCUUCGGGGAGCCAGCCGUCUAAGGUGGGACAGAUGAUUAGGGUGAAGUCGUAA
rnacentral:rRNA from 2 species